GAUGAACGCUGGCGGCGUGCCUAAUACAUGCAAGUCGAGCGAACGGACGAGAAGCUUGCUUCUCUGAUGUUAGCGGCGGACGGGUGAGUAACACGUGGAUAACCUACCUAUAAGACUGGGAUAACUUCGGGAAACCGGAGCUAAUACCGGAUGAUAUUUUGAACCGCAUGGUUCAAAAGUGAAGGACGGUCUUGCUGUCACUUAUAGAUGGAUCCGCGCUGCAUUAGCUAGUUGGUAAGGUAACGGCUUACCAAGGCAACGAUGCAUAACCAACCUGAGAGGGUGAACGUCCACACUGGAACUGAUGCUCGCUCCAGAUUCCGACGGGAGGCACCAGUUGGGUAUCUUCCUCAGUGGGCGCAAGCUUGACGGAGCAACGGCGCGUGAGUGAUGAAGGUCUUCGCAUCGUAAAACUCUGUUAUUAGGGAAGAACAUAUGUGUAAGUAACUGUGCACAUCUUGACGGUACCUAAUCAGAAAGCCACGGCUAACUCCGUG
rnacentral:rRNA from 1 species